rnacentral:lncRNA from 1 species
AGAAGAUAGAGUUGUACUGUGACCACAGUUACCUAGGAGUCUGUAUUUUUAGUUUAAUUUUUUAUUGCUCUAUAAAGUGGUGCACCAGAGCAGGCUAGUCCCAGGUAGUUAAUUAUGCAUAAGCAGUUGCAAAGUUCGAUUUUGCUGUAUAAUAUUGAGCCACAUAUUCUUCACAGUAUAUUUUGCUCAUACCUACUGCAGACUUCCACAUGACAGCUGAAUUGCAAACUGUAAAUGGUUGAAGACAGAAGACUUAUUAUAGAUUUUAUAUCCAGCCCAUGAGGAUUUUGACUGAUUCCAUUGAGCAGGCUCAGGUGAAAAACGGAAGGGCCAGGACAAAUUAAGUGACUUGUCCAGGAUCACACAACCAGUUAUUAGGUCUACUGAGAAAAAAAUACACAUCUCUUGACACCCAGAUGAGUGUUUUGUUUUUGUUAUCUAGCAUUUCGAGUGCUUCUGUACAACAUACCAUUUGUAUUCUUUGAAACAAACUCUUCGGAUAUUUCCAGGUGUUUUUCACAUUUCUGACCUGAGAGAAAGUAUACCUAAUGGUAUAAGUAGACUUAAAAUCUAUUUAAAAUUCUCAAAAGUUUCGAAUGCUGUUCUUCUUUUAGUAACUACUUAAAA